GAUGAACGCUGGCGGCGUGCCUAAUACAUGCAAGUCGAGCGAACAGACGAGGAGCUUGCUCCUCUGACGUUAGCGGCGGACGGGUGAGUAACACGUGGAUAACCUACCUAUAAGACUGGGAUAACUUCGGGAAACCGGAGCUAAUACCGGAUAAUAUAUUGAACCGCAUGGUUCAAUAGUGAAAGACGGUUUUGCUGUCACUUAUAGAUGGAUCCGCGCCGCAUUAGCUAGUUGGUAAGGUAACGGCUUACCAAGGCAACGAUGCGUAGCCGACCUGAGAGGGUGAUCGGCCACACUGGAACUGAGACACGGUCCAGACCCCUACGGGAGGCAGCAGUAGGGAAUCUUCCGCAAUGGGCGAAAGCCUGACGGAGCAACGCCGCGGGAGUGGUGAAGGUCUUCGGAUCGUAAAACUCUGUUAUUAGGGAAGAACAAAUGUGUAAGUAACUAUGCACGUCUGGACGGUACCUAAUCAGAAAGCCACGGCUAACUACGU
rnacentral:rRNA from 1 species